CUAGCACAUGCUAACAUGAGAAACAAGGAAAACUACAAGACAGCAACACAUAUAUGUUCAGCAACUAGUAUGAAAGAAAAGAAUUAAGAUCAAGGGACAAGAACAGAAGUACUUCACAUCACAAGCAUAUAUAUACUCACACGUACAUAGCUAACACAGGGACUAAGAAUUAAAGAUGUUCAAACUACUCACUUGACAGAGAGCACAAACAACACAAAAAUAGACAAGUAAGCUAGGUUCUUACAAAUGACUAGUUGAUAAACAGAGCACAUAUAUUGAACAGUACUACUAGACAAAUCUGAACAACACAUGCCAUACAAAUCUCAAUUCUAAACAUUACAAAAUACUAAACAUUAUACUACUCAAGAUUACAGAAAUUUGAGAGAGAGAAACAACAGCAGCAAGUUAGGGAAGUUGAGCGGAGGAGGAGCAGCGAAGGGGUUCAGAGAGAAAGAGAGAGACAGCAGGGGCGGCAGUAAGUUCAGAGAAGGAGCAGCAGCAGUAGGUUCAGAGAAAGAGUAGCAGUAGGUUCAGAGAAGGAGCGGCAAUAAGGUUUGGGAAGAAGAGGCAGCAGGGGAAAGGAGUAGUAGAAGCAGCGUGGAGGCGCAGGGGAGAAGAGAGCAACAACAGUUUGAGGCGAGGGAAGAAGAGAAGCAGCAGUAGGUUCAGAGAAGGCUUCAACAGAGGCGCAACAUGUAGUUUGGAGAUGGAGAAGGAGUUCGGGUUCAGGGAGCAACAACAGAGGUGAGGAAGAAGAGGGUAGCAGUAGGAGGACUGGAGGAUGGUGUGGUGGCGCUGGAUAUGGUGAUGGAUGGUGUGUGGCGGCGGUGCUGGAGAUGGUGAUGGAUGGCGCGGUGGUUCGAGGUGGUGAUGCGGCGCUGGUAGUGGCGGGUGGUGGAGAUGGAGUGGAUGAUGGAGUGGUGGCUGGAUGGACGGCGCUGGGCGCUGGUGGCGCACCUACCACGCCGGCCUGGCCAUGGCGGCGGCCAGAGGUGGAGAAGAAGGGUAAGGGAAAGAGAGAGAUGCCAGGCCCGAUUUGGGGAUUGAGAGCGCUAGGGAUUUGAUCCCCUUAAUCAGAUCUUCCCCUUUGCAAUCUGGCCCCUCUCCUUUUCUUCCUUCUGCACAAGUUGGUCCUCCUCUUAUUUAGGCAAACCCUUCAAGCUUUAGUGUUCAUCACACUUGGGUCCCUCCAUCUUUCUGUCCUGCCCUUGUCUCUUCUCAUCAGCCCCAUAGUCCAAAUUUUGAAGUUUAUAGGCCUUUUCGCCCUAUUCUGCAAAAUAAACAAAUUACUAGUCACGAGCUCUUUCGUGAAUAUCAUUUGAAUAUUCGAUAAUUCUAAGCAAGGAUAGAUUGACAUAUCUCAAUAAAUGGUGUAUAUGUGUGCCCAAAUCGUAUAUAUGAAAUGUGCUUAUCAAGUACCCCCACACUUAAAUCUUUGCUUGUCCUCAAGCAAAGGCAUUUGACAAGAGCAAGGUAGUGAUCAGCGAACUGACUAGAGAAUGUCCCAGUGAAGUAGAUCUCCAAACAAUGCAUGCUUUGAACUUUUGCUAGUGAAAAUCAAUGGUUAAGAGUGCUACAAAGCAGUAUGAUACUAGUAAGCAUGACCAUUUUUAACUUUUACAAUGAUAAAAGAGGAUCAACAAGUUUAAAUGAUGACUGUGCCAAAUGGUUCCUAAAGAGAGCAUGAUCUCGAGAACAAAAUGAACUGGAAUUAAAUCUUGUGAUCAAUCGAUCAUUUUGGCGCCUAUCACGCGGGUGACCUGAGUUCGAUCCCCGGCAACGGCGCCAAAAUGAUCGAUUGAAAGUGCAGCGGGAUAUUUACGCCCCAAACUACGGAUGUCGUAUUCUCCUCAGGGACUAGGCAACGACAGUCGUGCUCGGCCAAAGCUAGAUCUGACGAAAAGGUUUUUGAUAUUGCAAAACAAACGAAAAUAAAGCAAGUUUGUUCCAGAAAAUCAUUGACAAAUAAGAUGUACUCACUAUAUUUUUGGUAUUUUUAUUUGUUUUACUUUGGUAACUAAAAUACUAGCACAUGCUAACAUGAGAAACAAGGAAAACUGCUAGACAGCAACACAUAUAUGUUCAGCAACUAGUAUGAAAGAAAAGAAUUAAUAUCAAGGGACAAGAACAGAAGUACUUCACAUCACAAGCAUAUAUAUACUCACACGUACAUAGCUAACACAUGGACUAAGAAUUAAAGAUGUUCAAACUACUCACUUGACAGAGAGCACAAACAACACAAAAAUAGACAAGUAAGCUAGGUUCUUACAAAUGACUAGUUGAUAAACAGAGCACAUAUAUUGAACAGUACUACUAGACAAAUCUGAACAACACAUGCCAUACAAAUCUCAAUUCUAAACAUUACAAAAUACUAAACAUUAUACUACUCAAGAUUACAGAAAUUUGAGAGAGAGAGAAACAGCAGCGGCAAGUUAGGGAAGUUGAGCGAAGGACUAGCAGCGAAGGGGUUCAGAGAGAAAGUGAGAGACAGCAGGGGCAGCAGUAAGUUCAGAGAAGGAGCAGCAGCAGUAGGUUCAGAGAAAGAGUAGCAGUAGGUUCAGAGAAGGAGCGGCAGCAUGGUUUGGGAAGAAGAGGCAGUAGGGUAAAGGAGUAGUAGAAGCAGCGUGGAGGCGCAGAGGAGAAGAGAGCAACAGCAGUUUGAGGCGAGGGAAGAAGAGAAGCAGCAGUAGGUUCAGAGAAGGCUUCAGCAGAGGCGCAGCAUGCAGUUUGGAGAUGGAGAAGGAGUUCGGGUUCAGGGGAGCAACAACGGAGGUGAGGAAGAAGAGGGUAGCAGUAGGAGGACUGGAGGAUGGUGUGGUGGCGUUGGAUAUGGUGAUGGAUGGUGUGCGGUGGCGGUGCUGGAUGGCGCGGUGGUUCGAGGUGGUGAUGCGGCGCUGGCAGCGACGGUUGGUGGAGAUGGAGUGGAUGAUGGAGUGGUGGCUGGAUGGAUGGCGCUGGUUGCUGGUGGUGCACCUACCAUGCCAGCCUGGCCAUGGCGGCGGCCGGAGGUGGAGAAGGAGGGUAAGGGAAAGAGAGAGAGAUGCCAGACCCGAUUUGGGGAUUGAGAGCGCUAGGGAUUUGAUCCCCUCGAUCAGAUCUUCCCCUUUGCAAUCUGGCCCCUCUCCUUUUCUUCCUUCUGCACAAGUUGGUCCUCCUCUUAUUUAGGCAAACCCUUCAAGCUUUAGUGUACAUCACACUUGGGUCCCUCCAUCUUUCUGUCGUGCCCUUGUCUCUUCUCAUUAGCCCCAUAGUCCAAAUCUUGAAGUUUAUAGGCCUUUUCGCCUUAUUCUGCAAAAUAAACAAAUUACUAGUCACAUGCUCUUUCGUGAAUAUCAUUUGAAUAUUCGAUAAUUCUAAGAAAGAAUAGAUUAACAUAUCUCAAUAAAUGGUGCAUAUGUGUGCCCAAAUCGUAUAUAUGAAAUGUGCUUAUCAAGUACCCCCACACUUAAAUC
rnacentral:lncRNA from 1 species